ensembl:lncRNA
CUGUAACUUCAAAAGGCUUUUUCCAGAUUAGUGUCUGGAUGGACAAACAAUGUGCUGGAUUGAUGAGCAGCACGUUUCUCCUUCAAUGAACUGAACCUUUGCUUUCAUUCUUAAGUGGAAUACGGACUGCAGCCCAUCACACCAGUUUAACAUGAAGAUGAGAAGGACGAGGUGAAGCUGAGCUCUGGCCUGAAGAGGUAUUACGUCAAUGUUUGUUAGCAGAGAGAAUGACAUUCUUCUUUAUAUUGUGGCAACCCACGAAGCAGCACCCUGGACAGCGCCUCAAGAGACCAGCACCAAGGUCUGGGGCACCGACGAGCCAGAGUGGCGGAGUAACAGGGACUCCUCGAGGCAACUAGCAGACCGGUUUACAACCUGAUGACAGCGGGGACGGCCAAUCACACGAGCAACAGCAG